rfam:Myotis lucifugus cont2.34753, whole genome shotgun sequence.
GGUGGUUCUCGGAUGAGGCAUCCCAGAAUCAGGCUCCCUCCUCUCUGGUUCCAGGUGCUGUCACCUGAGAACCACA